CGUUUUACGACUCAACAUCUUCUAUCGGGAAUUGAACUAUGAGGAGGUCAUGCAGCAGGAAGCGUACGAUAUUUUUGCUCUGCUCUGCGACAUAGGAGGCUCCAUGGGUCUGUUUAUCGGUGCUAGUGUACUCACAGUCUUUGAAAUACUUGACCUCAUCCUGUUCACGUGGGCAGCCCGUUUUGGUGGACGUCGACAGUGACCUAUCGACGCCGCCCCGCAUUCAAAUGUGCCAAAAUCUUGUUGAUAUUCAAUGAACUAAAAAAUAUUAUGAAUUAACAGAUUUGAAAAAAUGUCGGUGAUUAUCA